UGAGUUUUGAUGGAGACAUCAUCAUUUUGGGGCAGUGCCUCACGACCUGGGGAAGUGGUCAGAGAGCUGCAUAAGAAGGUCCAACAUCUAGUAGUUCUUCACUCACUCACAGGAUCCAUUCUCCUCCCCAGCUGCUUUCACCAUUGAACAAGCUUCACCCUCCCUCCACAUGGCAAAGAUGUCGUGCUGUUCCCAGUGUGGCUGCUCCCUCUGCUGUUGCAAGCAGUGCUGCUGCUCCCCCUGCUCCUGCAGCCCAUCAUCCUGCAACAGCUGCUGUGGUGGGCAAUCUCGCUGCUGCGGUUCCUGCUGCAGCGAUUCCAAAUGCUGCUAUCCUAAGCAAUGCAAGUGCUGAAGGAAUCCAAGGGAAGGCUUGAAUGCAAAGAGGGGACGUGCCGCCUGGCCAUUACGGAACGUCGCCAGGGGCACCAGCACCACUUUGGCGACCUGCACUCGCCGAUUUCUUGCACUCACAUCACCAAAUUGAUUCACUCACAUCUUGCACCAUGUUUUGUCUACUCACUUGUGAGCGGGAUGCUCUCUCUGCCUGUUCCCUUUAUUUGAGUAACUCAGUUCCCGACUCCCAUGCAGCACCAUACACACCAUUUGACCACACCCUUGUUGAAAGAAAAUUAUGGCAUCCAUUUUAAAUAGCAUCUGUCUCUGUCACUGUUGACUUUUAGAAGUAAUUUGGAAAGAGUCCUAUUUACACCGGCAUCUGAUGGCUGAAGGAGAUUGUUCCUGGCAACCCAGCUAUCACUGAAUGGAGAAAAUGUUUUCAUCUGUAUCUGCUUCUUAGAAUGUUUUUCUUUUUCUUUUUAAAUUGCUUUGUUGAUGCACCCUGGGCUUCUUCGGGAAGACAGGUGGGGUGGUAUUAUUAUUAUUAUUAUUAUUAUUAUUAUUAUUAUUAUUAUUAUUAUUAUUAUUAUUAUGUCAAAAUCUAACCAUAUGUAUGUGAAAUAAUAACAUUGCAAACAAUGCUGGACA